rnacentral:tRNA from 1 species
GGGGAUUUAGCUCAGUGGUAGAGUGCUUGCCUAGCAAGCGAAAGGCCCUGGGUUCGGUCCCCAGCUCCA